AGAGCGGGCAUGGCCAAACUUGGCCCCCCAGCUGUUUUGGGACUACAGUUCCCAUCAUCCCUGACCACUGGUCCUGUUAGCUAGAGAUGAUGGGAGUUUUAGUCCCAAAACAGCUGGAGGGCCAAGUUUGGCCAUGCCUGGUUU
rnacentral:miRNA from 1 species